GCCCCGCCUCCUGCCUGAGGGGGUGGGCGGGAAGCGGGGUCCUGGGUAUCCCCUCAGCGGGAGUUGGACCUGGGUUUCCCGCCCCGCACGGUGUCUUGGAGCCCCUCUGCAGGCUGAGAGCCCCCAGCUGACACGGGAGCUGAGCGGGUGGCAGGGGCCUGCGGUUGGGGUGUCCCUGCCUGGGCAGAGGUGGUGGCAGAAUCAUCUCUGACAUGAGACAUGGAGCUCGUGGGAGUGGGUACCGCGGAGGGCAGGGAGGAUGACUGGGGAAUUGGAGCAUCUCUGCUAUGAGGAAAGGCUGAGGAAGAUGGGCCUCGAGAAGAGAUAAUUGAGAGGAGACCUCAUUAAUGUGUAUAAGUACCUAAAGUGGAGUGCCAAGAGGAUGAAGCCAGGCUCAGCUCAGUGGUGCCAGCCACAAGGACAGCAGGCAAUAGGCAGGAAGCGGUGCCCAGAAAGUUCUACCUGAACAUAAGGAAGAACUUCUUUCCUGUGCAGUGAUUGCUCACUGGUCCAGAGAGGCUGUGGAGUCUCCCUCAUUGGAGAUACUCCAGAAUCAUCUGGACAUAAUCCUGUGCCAUGCACUCUGGGAUGACCCUGCUUGAGCAGGAAGAUGGGACCAGAUGAGCCACUGUGAUCCUUUCAACCUGACCCAUUCUGGGUUUGGUGACAGAUGUCAUCUCUGCAUCCUCCUGACAGCCAGGGAGGCUUACCCUGGCUUGUCCCAGUGCCCAAGCAGCUCCUGGUGACAUCCCUCUCAUCAGCGUGUCCCAUGGGCUGCAGGCACACGGUUCCUCAGGCCACUCAGCGGUGUGGCCAUCCUGUCCCCUCAGGACACCACAGAGUGGCUGUGGGUCAGCCAGCAGUGCCUGGGCUGGCUGGGAGCAGGAGGGAGGCCUGGUACCACAGAGCCCUGGGGAGCAGCACAAGGCACGGCCUGGAGCUGGAACCUCACCCUCCGCAUGUGAGAUGUGGCAACCAGUUGGGCACAUCCCUUCAUCAAAAUGGCUCCCUGUUAUUAUGUGCUGCUGCUGUGUCCUGCACUGUGGCUGGGAUCCCUGGUUAGGCUGGAUUCCGUCGUUUAAGGGCAAGCAGAACAAAAUGUCUCUCCUUGUCCUGAAGGAGCCUGCAAUCAUCAACAUGAUUUGCCUAGAUUUCAAAUUGAGGCAUUUGCCCAAGAGCCUCUGUGGCUGAGAAGUUGAGGCUCAUAUGGGAGGAACUGUUCCCAAGGCUGAUAUGCAAAGCUUGGAUGAAAGCCUUGGAGUCCUUGGUCUCUGCCAGGCUUUGAUGCCCAGACUCCUUGCCUGUAAUCUGCCAUCUAUGCAGACAGUAUCAGAGCUAUCAAAUAAUUCCACCACAAUGUGAGCCUUGAAAAAAAAAAAAUUAAGAGUCUGCUAGGAAAAGUACACAGAAAUGUCCUUGGGUAAAAGUGAAAAAUUGGAUCAAGCCAAAUACAUAGUUACAAUUUUUGCUUACCAGGUCAAGCUUACACAGACUUUGGACUGGGAAAACAUUUUGUAUUGGUACAGUGAAGCUAUCACAGGACAUACCAGGAGUUGCCAGGAAACAGCAGGUUUACAGGCUGCUGUUACAGGUGAGGCUUGAAUCCUUCCAUCAAUUCUUCUCUGAUGUUUUCAAGGCUUUGAGGCAUUGCUGGAGAUGGGCUGGUAUUUUUUGAAUUGUGUUUGCAGGUUAUUGGGAAAGAGCUGAGCCUUCUAAAUAUUUGGUAUUUACCAAGCUAUGAUGCUGAAAUACCAGAGGCAUCUGAAGAAUCCAGCCCAGUUCUCACCCCUCUCAUGCCCCAGCACAGGGCUGACAGACAUGUGGAUGCUCUGCUUCCAUCCCUAGGCUCUCAGCCCUGAAAAGAUUCACCAGUGAAGGGUGCAAAGAGAGGAUCCCACAAGGUCUGGAGGACGAGGUGGUUCCUUGGACGGUGCAGUGCCACAGCUCGGGAUCCCGGUGCGCAGUGCCAUCUCCUGGAAAGCCGGGCUGCAGCUGCACUCAGGAGCGCUGCUCCUGGUAGCUUGGUGCUGUCUCCAUAGACACAAACAUUUUCUUUUCACCACUGAGAGUCCCCCACCAAACUGCUCUUUCCCCAGCAAGCAGGAAGAUGCUCCUCACCCCCAUGUCCGAGGCACCCUGUGGCAGAACAUCUCUGCAUGGCUCCUUCCCAGUCUGGAUGUUGAAUAUAAAUCUCU